rnacentral:lncRNA from 1 species
UGUAGAUCAAACGGUGAUCACUUCAUCCUCAGCGCCGCGGGCGAAAUGAGCCUUUGAUGCGGCAGAAGAUGAAAAGAUCCCCGCAAUCAGUCACUUUCUACAGACAUUUGAAAAAGAUCUUUUUGAGUUUGGUCUUGAAGAGCUUGAUGUUCCUGCACACAAACCCAGACCUGAAAAUCAUGAUGCAUGGAGACUGUAUGCACCAGCAUUAGUAUUAGUAGAAGGACAACAAAUUGAUACAACAAUAAUGAAACUUAAAUAAUUCAGCUGUGCAGUAUGUCAGCAAGUGCAAAGAUCUACAGUAGAUGUACAAAUUAUGUUUCCACCUAAUGAUGCUAAAUGUCAUUUUCAAAUGCAGUACAUUUCAAUCCAUCAUACUGCACAUACAAAUGUAGCCACUGUUAAACUGUAGCAGCAAUGUCAGGUGUUUUCUCCCAGAUAGUAAUAAAAAGACAACAAUUCAAGCAGUAUUUGUCUUUGUACAUGCUGUGAAAAGAAUGAACAGAGGAAAAACCGUGGAAUGCCUUGAUCUUUUGAGGUGAAUGAAAUAACAUUUCUGUUGCAUUGUUUAUUUUAUAGAUUAUCAGAAGGGAUUGGUCUUUAGGAGAAAAUGAAAGUUUAACAAAGAAAUGAAACCUUUUUGUUAGGAAUAUAUAGUUUUAUUUAAGACAACUGGUUAUUUUGUGCAAUACGGCUUCUUAAAGUGGUAGUUCACACAUUUUAUGAUUCUGUGAUCAUUCCGUUUUUGGGUAAACGUUCUCUUUAAACACAAAGUCACGUUCAGCAUUCCCAACCUUCAUAUUACUAAUUACCUACAGUAAAAACCACAUUUGCUUUUUAGCUGCUUGAAGUAGCUGCUAAAUGACUUUGCUCAGGUCAAAUACGAAGGAUAUUUAAUUGUACAUCUUUACAAUAUAAACCUUUUUACUUGACAGUCAAAUGCAAGUUUAAAUAAAAAUGUGAAAAGUAAAAUCUUUUAAAAAACUUUCUUCUUUCUUCUUCCUUGAGCAGUUUCUCACCUGUUGCUGUAAGGCAGUGGCAUCCCUGAACAAUGCAGUUUGUUUGAGCAGCUGUAUCCAUCACAAUAGAUACAGGUCUUUCAUCCUUGCCGACAUCAAUGGACCCAUUUACACAGACAGACACAUUGUUUAAGCUUCACAUUAGCACUGAUGCCACCUAAAAAUAGGAAUGCUUCAGAAAAAAAAAACUGCACAUCAUUUUGACGAUAAAUUGAUAUGUUAACAUUUUUUAGUUUUCUAAUUUCAAACAGUUUUUUUUUUUUUAGAUAUAAAU